rnacentral:misc_RNA from 1 species
AAACGAUAGAAGUUCUGGUGAGCGUUCACACAAAUUAUCUGAUACCUAUCUUAAAAGCAUUAGAACAAAGUUCUAAGCAAGAUACUAAGCAUCAAGCACCUCGGUGAUUGAUGAUUUUUAGUCUCUGACUUAGUGCUUUGCACUAAACUUGCUCUUUAACAAUUCGAAUUUUGAAAUAACGAUAAAUCAAGCGUUAAACCGGUGGAAGUUCACUUUAACCUAGUGACUUCUAUUAUCGUAAAUCCAGAGAGGUACAAAAGCUCUUUGGUAUGUGAUCCGAAACUAUUUUGGGUUA